CAAGCCAGAGCAAUCAGCACCAGAUCGAGUCGAGUGGCUCUCAGCCAAUUAAAUUACGCUGUUUGAUCACAUGACACCGUUAGCCAGCAGUGUGUCUCCUAAAAGAGAGCUGUUUAAAGGUGAGUGAUUAAGUUUUUCUCCUAAAUAGAGAUCAUUACAGAACGCCUAGUCCUACUUAAAAUCCCAUUUAUUAUUAUUUUUUUUUUUAUCAUCUACUCGAACUAAGGAAAACGUUUGACUAACUCAAAGACAAUUUCCACGCCUCCCCUGCCUGACUGCAGAGGCAGUUUUGAAUUUAGGAGCGCCAAGAUGGCAGCGGCAAACCCUGGCGGCUCUCCGGUGGAAAAGACCCGUCACCUUCUGGGAGAGGCGGCUCCCGUGGGAACAGCUCCCACCACCAAGUCCCUGAGUGAGUCUCUGUCCCCCAGCGUGAGCUCCAGCACUCUGUCCACGUCCACCUCCGCCUCCUCGCAGAUCUCCAGCACCACCUUUGAAAGCGUGAGAAGGAGCUGGCCACCAAGUGCCUGCGCCUUCUGACACACACCUUCAAUACUGAAUACAACCAGCUGGUGAACAGCAUCAGUGACUGCAAG
ensembl:lncRNA